rnacentral:rRNA from 1 species
UAGGGAAUCUUCGGCAAUGGGGGCAACCCUCGACCGAGCAACGCCGCGUGAGUGAAGAAGGUUUUCGGAUCGUAAAGCUCUGUUGUAAGAGAAGAACGUGUGUGAGAGUGGAAAGUUCACACAGUGACGGUAACUUACCAGAAAGGGACGGCUAACUACGUGCCAG